rnacentral:rRNA from 1 species
CAACCUGCCCACCACUUGGGAAUAACCUUGCGAAAGUAAGACUAAUACCCAAUGAUAUCUCUAGAAGACAUCUGAAGGAGAUUAAAGAUUUAUCGGUGAUGGAUGGGGAUGCGUCUGAUUAGCUUGUUGGCGGGGUAACGGCCCACCAAGGCUACGAUCAGUAGGGGUUCUGAGAGGAAGGUCCCCCACAUUGGAACUGAGACACGGUCCAAACUCCUACGGGAGGCAGCAGUGAGGAAUAUUGGUCAAUGGGCGAGAGCCUGAACCAGCCAAGUAGCGUGCAGGAUGACGGCCCUAUGUGUUGUAAACUGCUUUUAUAAGGGAAUAAAGUGAGCCUCGUGAGGCUUUUUGCAUGUACCUUAUGAAUAAGGACCGGCUAAUUCCGUGCCAGCAGCCGCGGUAAUACGGAAGGUCCGGGCGUUAUCCGGAUUUAUUGGGUUUAAAGGGAGCGUAGGCCGGGAUUAAGCGUGUUGUGAAAUGUAGACGCUCAACGUCUGCACUGCAGCGCGAACUGGUUUCCUUGAGUACGCACAAAGUGGGCGGAAUUCGUGGUGUAGCGGUGAAAUGCUUAGAUAUCACGAAGAACUCCGAUUG